CCCAAUAAAAUAAACUAGGCCCAAAAUAAAUUAAAAGAAAAGCCCAUACUGAAAAUAAUCAAAGCCCAUUCUCCCACUAAUUCUCGGUUAUCCCUUUCUCUCCAAGCAGGACACGUUCUCUCUCUCUUUUUUUUUUUCAAUACUGCAUCUCUCUCUAAAAUCAAUACUGCCACAAUUAAAAUACUCUAUUUUCUUUUUCUUUUUGGUCAGAAAUUUUAAAUCCUCAUAAACAACAAAAUCGACACAUCAUUAAGAAAUUUUUUUUUUAAAAUUUAUAGCACUCAUGUAAACCCACAAAAUCGACACUUUCUUUAAAAUAAAGCACUACCCAUCAUUUUCACUCCUACAAUAAAACACCUCACAUUUUAUAUUACCUCUCUCUCUCUCUCAAUUCACCACACGCACACACACACUUUAUAUCAACAAAUCCCUCUCUAUUUUUUUUUUAAAGUAAAAAUUCCUUAUCUCUCUUUUUNUUUUCACUAACAUCGGUUCCCCAUUUUCUUUAAAAGCCUAACCCACCAUUUUCUUUAAUCACCAUCAUCAUCGAUUCUUCCCCUUUUUUUUUUAAAGCAUACACUCCCUCUCUCUCAAUUAUUAAGGAAGAAACACUGCACAUCUCUUUCUCUUUCUCAUAACACACUCACACACUAUUCAUCAUCUCUCUAAAAUCAAGAAUCGGACACUGCUCAACAUCUCUCUCUCUCGCUCGAUUCCGGCCAUCCCCUCCCCGCGUCCUGGCCGUUCCGGUCGCCAGCGAGGCCGCCGCGUGGAGCUGCUGCCGCUGACUGCUCGUGGAGCACCAAGGCGAGCUCCUCGCCUGAAACCGUCGACUGCUGCUGUUCACGGAGUCGCGCCGACCGCUGCUGUUCAUGGAGUCGCGCCGUCCGCUGCUGUUCAUGGAGUCGCCGCUGGCUGGUCUGCUUCGCCGGAGUCGCGGCCUGGAGUUGCUGCAGGCUCGUCCGGUGGUCAGUGGCUCGCUGGAGGAGCGCCGCCGCCGACCGCUGCUGUUGGCAGCAAGAGCCCGGCAGCCGCCUCUCCCGGAGCCGCCGUCGCCGUGAGUCGCAGAGCUCCGACAAUCCACCAUCCUUUCUCUCUCGUUUUAUCACUCACGAUAGGUUCGUAAAUUUGAAUAAUUUUCAGAAAAUUCAACUUUGUAUAAAGACUUGAUUUUGGAAUGAAAACUUGGUUUUCUGUAUUCUUAUUUUUACAACAUAUAAUAGCUCAUUAUGUAUCACAGAAACGAAUGGUUUGCUAUAUUUGCUAUGUCCAUUUAUGCAUAUGUAGGUUCUCUACCAUUCUGUAUUCCUAAUUAAACCGAAGCGUGCAAAUGAGAUAGUGAAUACCUUGAAAGUUUUGUUUGUUGGUUGUUGUUGCUGAGUUAUAUAUGGUGAUCUUGUUUCGUCUAAAAUUCUUUGCAGCUGCUAAGGAUUUUAGGUAAGUGAGGAUGCCUUUUAUAGGGAGUAAAUACUGAAGCUGCUAGUGUGAAAAAUAUGGUGAAUAGUGCGGCUAAGUUUAGGCGUGAUUGAAGAAUUCAAUGAGAUUAUAUUUGCUGCUGACAAAUUAGAUUUGUCUGUUGAAUACUUGAGAUUUUGGUUGAAGAAUUAAUGAGAUUAGAUUUGUUUGUUGAAAACUGAAACCAAAUGAAGGUGUUCGGGUGUGAAAAUUUUGCAGAUAUGCUGCUGGAGCUGGAGUCAAAAAAAAAUGUCAAUAGAUGGCUGAGCAUGCUUGAGCAUGCUUAAAGGAUAUCUGCAGAUUUUCUUCACACACAUACACUAUUCCAUUUUUUUUUUAAUGUUGGUAGAUAGAUAGAAAAAUAGGGGUUUGUAAAGUGAAGUAUAAACAGAAGCAAUAAUUCUUGUCUUGGAAUUUCUAUAUCUGUAAUAUUGUAUUGCAUC
rnacentral:lncRNA from 1 species